CUUGCUAGAGAGAAUCUCUUAAUUUAAUAUUUCAAAUAGUUAAAAAGUGAAUGCUCUUUUUUUAAUAUUUUUUGAAUUUUUACUCUUAAUUUUUACUUUCCUUCUUUGAUUCUCUUGUCUUGUCACUUCAAAAAGUUGUUGGAGGCUUUAAACCACUAUUCAAACCUAAAAAAUCAUUUCUAGCCAUUGGGAUCUGAAAAAUAGCUGUUGGAAGUAAUUCUGGAUCGUUCUGAAUUUUCUAUAGAACUAGCCAUUG
rnacentral:lncRNA from 1 species